rnacentral:rRNA from 1 species
GACGAACGCUGGCGGCGUGCUUAACACAUGCAAGUCGAACGGAAAGGCCAUGCUCUUGUGGGGUGCUCGAGUGGCGAACGGGUGAGUAACACGUGAGUAACCUGCCCUUGACUUUGGGAUAACUUCAGGAAACUGGGGCUAAUACCGGAUAGGAGCUCCUGCUGCAUGGUGGGGGUUGGAAAGUUUCGGCGGUUGGGGAUGGACUCGCGGCUUAUCAGCUUGUUGGUGGGUAGUGGCUUACCAAGGCUUUGACGGGUAGCCGGCCUGAGAGGGUGACCGGGCACAUUGGGCCUGAGGUACGGCCCAGACUCCUACGGGAGGCAGCAGUGGGGAAUAUUACACAAUGGGCGGAAGCCUGAUGCAGCAACGCCGCGUUCGGGAUGACGGCCUUCGAGUUGUAAACCGCUUUCGCCUGUGACGAAGCGUGAUUGACGGUAAUGGGUAAAGAAGCACCGGCUAACUACGUG